CUCUCUCUGUCUCUCUCUACUAAUUUCUGCCUGUACUGAACAUACAUUCACAAGAGGAGUGGAAGAGAUGGCAGUGGCUGAAACACAACUAUAUUCGAAGGUCUUGAACAAAGUCAAAAACAGAAGCACCUGCGCUUUACUGGAAUCCCUCUUAUCUAUGGGAUUCCCUGCACAUACAGCGCAAAAAGCUUUGGCUGCUACUGGACACAAGACAGCAGAAGAGGCUUCAAAAUGGUUGCACUCUCAUUGUAAUGAUCCUUCUUUGGAUGAUCCAAUCCCUCAGGAAUAUGCUCUCUAUUUGUGCCCAACUGGACCCUUGCAUGACAAACUGCAGGAAUUUUGGAAAGAGAGCAAGAACCAAUGUGCGAGAAACAAAGCCCAUGAGAUUUUCCCCCACAUAACUCUUUGUGAUUUCUUUACGUGUGAAGAUCGGAAAGUGGAAUUCUUGCAUGAAGCCCUAAAGAAAGUUGGUGACAGGUUUUUAAAUGUGUUCCCACCUGCCAUUUCUCUAUCACUACAUUCGUCUGUCAGCUACCUUGGUUUCUUCAUUAAUGAUGCCCAUGCAAAUGUCAUCAAAGAGUUUGCUGUGGCUUUUGCUACUGAGGCUUCAAUCUUGGCAGAUUGCCACGUGAAACCCUGCACAAAGCAGCUGCACCUUACCCUGGCUCAUAAGUUUUAUCCUCACCAUCAAAAGACUUUGGAACAAUUGGCCAAAUCUAUCAACCCAGGACACAGCUGCCUGUGGACAGCUGCUCUGUAUUCUAGAGAUAUGCGCUUUGUAAAUUACCAGAUCUUGCAAGCACUCUUCCAAUACAAGCCUCAGAACAUUGAUGAACUAAUGCUGAAUACUGGAGAUUUGAUAUAUGUUGACCGAUCACAACAAUCUGAUGUUAGUGAUGGCUGGGUGAUUGGUACCUCGCACCGGACUGGCUGCAGAGGAUUUCUUCCUGAAAAUUACACAGAAAAAGCCAAUGAGUCAGAUACUUGGGUUAAACACAGAGAAUACACUUUCACUCCAGCUUCAGGACUGCUCCCCAAGAAUGAAAAUGAACCUAGACGUAAACUGAAUGGUGAAGUCCAUAACCCAAUAAUGACAAAGAAUGUAACCCAAACGCUUGCUUUCCAGCUUUCUCAGACUGUUGCUCUCAGAAGAAGCCUGUUGGUGAUGCGCCAUGGGGAGAGAGUGGAUCAUGUUUUUGGGAAGUCCUGGAUUCAGCAAUGCUUAACUGCAGAUGGAAAAUACCACAGAGCAGAUCUGAACUUCCCUGCCAGUCUGCCAAAACGAAGAGAUGGCAUCAAACAUUUUGAAUAUGAUCCUCCUUUAUCAUGCUGUGGUGUUUUCCAGUCUAGACUUGUAGGAGAAGCUCUGCUGGAGAAACAAGAGACAGUUAGCCAUGUAUACUGUUCCCCUGCACUCCGCUGCAUACAGACAGCUCAACACGUGCUAGAAGGGCUUAAAUUAGAACAAAAAAUUAAAAUCAGGGUAGAACCUGGACUCUUUGAAUGGACGAAAUGGGAGGCCAACAAAAUAAUUCCCUCCUUUAUGGCACUGACAGAACUGACAGAGGCUACUUACAAUAUAGAUCCCAGUUACAGUGCCAUGCUGCAUUACUCCCGCAGUGCACGGCUAAACCCAGAAAAUCACUCGGUUAAUAAAGAUUGCAAGCUACUUGGGGCAGGGACUGCUUCCACACAUAUCCAAUAUGUACAGUACCUACAGUAUGGAGCUUUGGUCUCGCUUGGGGUCUCUUGGCACUACUGUAAUACACAGAAUGACCUAGUAUCAAUGAUCACACACUGAAAGAUAUCUGUAUUCAUCACAGGUUUUUAGUUACUACUUAUUCCCUGCUUUCUGAAUUGGUGCUUGGAUUCUAUGUUGAAUGGGUCCCUGUAAAAGUAGAGGAGGAAGGCUUAACCAUCUAUCUAUUUAUUGUAUCUCUUAUUCAGUGAUGGUCCCAUGGUUUAAAAGCUCUGAGAACAGUCUGAAAUUCACUUUUGUACUGUAUGACAGGUAUAGUUAGUACAAUAGCCCUACAAUACAUCAAUCUACUUCCUACCUAUUCGCUGCUCAUGCUGCAUGCAGGUUUUAAAUGGGUGAGAUAAGAUUAUGAGAUUCUGUUCUUCUGUGUGGUUGAAAGAAGUUAGCUGGUAUAGUUUCCUGGAACACAGCCAUUGCAUGAGGCAGAGCAACACGUAGCUGUGCAGGUCUCCAGCUAACAGGAGAGGUGACUUUAUAGAAGGAAAUAAUGAAGGAAAUAAAAACUUUCCUUUGUCCAUUUACUCUAGACUUGAUGGCAGAACCCUAAAUCUUUCAGGCCAGAUCUUCAGCUGUUUAGUGGAGAUACGCUGAUUUAUAGCAGCUGAAGAUCUGGCCCUUAAUUUGUAAACACUCUUUUUUACACGCAGGGGAUACCUAUAAGUAAAAGAAACUAUAAGGUCAGAUCUUGAAAACACAACUGCCCAAAAUCCUAAGGCUGGUCCAAUAUUAAUAAAUAUUCUCACUGGUCUUGAUAAAGAUUUAUUUUGAAGUAAAAAGCAAAGAAGGAUUGUUUAAUUUGUUUUGCCAAAGCAGGCGCAGGUAGGAAUUUUUAAAGGGACACUCAAGCCAAGGGGCCAAAUCCUGGAUUCAGCCAUUUCAUUGGUGUCAGUGGGAGUUCUGUAUAGGUAAGAACUGAGUCCAGACUUCAGGGUUUGGCUCAGUUUUUAAGCCUAAAAUCCAUCCUACCUGGACAAUGAUUAUUUUUUUUAAUGUUCUUGCCUGGAGGAGCCUAUAUUUGUAUUUUUUCCCCCAAACACAAGCGUUUCUAGAGUAUAUUUCUUAUAAACGGCAUGAUCCAUUGUGAGGUUUACGAAGGGACAGAUUCUGCUGCCCUUAUUCACAUUGGAUAGUAUCUUAUUCUGUGAGUUCAUCUAUUGGAUUCAGUUGGAUUACUUGCAGAGAAAGCUACUGUUUGGUGUGAGUUGAAGUACCAUGCUUCAGAUCAGUACAGUCUCUGAGGUAGAGAUGGUGUAUAGGUACCAGUUUGUUUACUGACAAUGUUGAUAAUGUGCCAAUAUACAAACAAAUGUUACCUACAUGAGUGACUCCUCUGUGGAUUUUAUUAUCAGAUGUACUUUCCCACUUUCCUCCCUGGUGCCAUCGGAAAGUUAUGAAGAGUAUGUAAGCAGAUGCUCUGCAGUUAUAAAACAGAUUGUCAGUGACUGUACAAGCAACGGUAUCAUCCUGAUAGUGGGUCAUGGCUCCUCCC